UACGUAGGGUGCGAGCGUUAAUCGGAAUUACUGGGCGUAAAGCGCGCGUAGGCGGUCUUGUAAGUCGGAUGUGAAAGCCCCGGGCUUAACCUGGGAACUGCAUUCGAUACUGCUUGACUAGAGUAUGGUAGAGGGUAGCGGAAUUCCGGGUGUAGCGGUGAAAUGCGUAGAUAUCCGGAGGAACACCAGUGGCGAAGGCGGCUACCUGGACCAAUACUGACGCUGAGGUGCGAAAGCGUGGGGAGCAAAC
rnacentral:rRNA from 1 species